rnacentral:rRNA from 1 species
CCUACGGGAGGCAGCAGUGGGGAAUAUUGGACAAUGGGCGAAAGCCUGAUCCAGCAAUGCCGCGUGAGUGAUGAAGGCCUUAGGGUUGUAAAGCUCUUUUACCAGGGAUGAUAAUGACAGUACCUGGAGAAUAAGCUCCGGCUAACUCCGUGCCAGCAGCCGCGGUAAUACGGAGGGAGCUAGCGUUGUUCGGAAUUACUGGGCGUAAAGCGUACGUAGGCGGUUAUUCAAGUCAGAGGUGAAAGCCUGGAGCUCAACUCCAGAACUGCCUUUGAAACUAGAUAGCUAGAAUCACGGAGAGGUUAGUGGAAUUCCGAGUGUAGAGGUGAAAUUCGUAGAUAUUCGGAAGAACACCAGUGGCGAAGGCGACUAACUGGACGUGUAUUGACGCUGAGGUACGAAAGCGUGGGGAGCAAACAGGAUUAGAUACCCUGGUAGUCCACGCCGUAAACGAUGAUAACUAGCUGUUCGGUCUCUACGAGACUGAGUGGCGCAGCUAACGCAUUAAGUUAUCCGCCUGGGGAAGUCGGUCGCAAGAUUAAAACUCAAAAGUAGUAGUACGACGNGAGAGAGCGACGACGACGACGAGGAGGAGGAG